AUAAAAUGAUUUCAGAUAAUAACGCUACUUGAAAAUAAAUCUGAGCUUGGUUCAGCCAUAUGGUUCUACUUAUCUUGGCUGGACUCUCUCAUGUAUCUGCAAUCAGAUGGAGACUUGGCCGCUGUCUGCAUGAACUUGGGUGGCCUUAUUCACUUGUCCUGAGGUGGGCCGGUGGGGCAACCUGGUGGUUCUCUUCCCCAAGACUUCUAACAGGGCUAGGUUGGGCUCAUUCAGGAUGAUGGUGGUCUCAGGGGCUUCAACUGUGGCAAAAGUGGUAGCUGCAAAUAUUCUUAAGGAGUUGAUUUGGAACUUGCCAAUUAUUUCUGUUACAUGCUGUUGGUCAAAGCAAGUCAUAAGCCCAGCCCAGAUUUAAGGGUAAGUAGAUUCUUCCUGAUUGUGGAAGGAGCUGUAAAUUAUUGUGAGCAUGUUUGCUGUUUGCUACAAAUGUAUUACUAAUUGUUUGCACUACUCUAAGUGCUUUACUUAACCAUCACAUCAACCUAAGGGAAGUGGGUUACUGUUGCUAAAUAUAUUUCACAAAUGAGAAAAUUGGUACUGAGAAAUUAAGUAACUUACCCAAGAUCACAUGUGUAGUGAUAGAGCUGAAUUUGAGUCCAGACAUCUGGUUCUAGAGAUUGAAUUCUUAACCAAUAACGUAUAUUUCCCCUAAAAGUCUGGUGGACAAUUGAGGAGGAAGCAAGAGAAAGCAAGAAAGGGAUUUUCAAACAUGUGGCAUUAGUACUUGUGCAAUGUUUUGUUGGUUAAGAACAUUUGUUGUGUGUUUGGCAACCUUCUUCAUUAGACCUAUGGAUAUGUUUGAACCAGCACUAUUUUGAUAGCCUCAGUAGAGACUCACUUUUCUGGAGUAGACUGGGUAAGAGUCCAGCUUUGCAAACAUUGAAAUAAUUUGCUCUCAUGGCAAACUUGAAUAUAUCAUAUAUAUGCUUUACAUAAUGAAACUUCAUACAAGGAACACUAGAGAGCUAUUUCUUUGCCAAUUCAGUCUCUGUUAAGAAUAGAAUUAGAGGCUGGGGUUGUGGCUCAGUGGUAGAGUGCUUGCCUAGCAUGCACGAGGCACUGGGUUCGAUCCUCAGCACCACAUAAAUGUAAAAUAAAGAUAUUGUGUCCACCUAAAACAAAAAUAAAUAAAUAUUAAAAAAAAAAAAAAGAAUAGAAUUAGAUUUCUAAAUGAACCUUCAGCUACAGCUUUUUCUUACCUUUGCUGGAUAAGCAACUAAGUAAAAAAUAUCCUAAAUUAAAGUUUAUAGAAAUUACGACCUUUCCUCUUUGGAAUUGGGUUAUUGGAAUCAGCGAAAAAGACACCUGGAGAUUGCAAAAAGCUUGACCUUUAUCAGCUUUGGUGAUCAUAUUCAGGAUAUCAGAUGACAUUGGACCGCGUCUGGCUGUG
rnacentral:lncRNA from 1 species